rnacentral:rRNA from 1 species
UACGUAGGGUGCGAGCGUUAAUCGGAAUUACUGGGCGUAAAGUGUGCGCAGGUGGCCGCGCAAGUCGAGUGUGAAAUCCCCGGGCUUAACUUGGGAAUUGCGCUCGAAACUACGUGGCUCGAGUAUGGCAGAGGAAGGUGGAAUUCCACGUGUAGCGGUGAAAUGCGUAGAGAUGUGGAGGAACACCGAUGGCGAAGGCAGCCUUCUGGGCCAAUACUGACGCUCAUGCACGAAAGCGUGGGGAGCAAACGGG